UCUCCCCUUAGCAUCUCCCCACUCAAGUCCCCCAGGUCUCUCCCUCAGCUUCUCCCCUCUCAGGUCCCCCUCCAGUUCUUUUCUUCACUCAGGUUCCCUCCCCCCAACAGUUGUCCUCAGCUUCUCUCCCCGAGGUUUUCCUCCAAGGUAUCCCCCAAAGUACCCUCCUGUGGCCUCCCCCUAGGUCUCCCCAACACAGUUAUCCCCCCCAACCUUUCCCUCACGUCUGCCCGCUGAGGUCUCCCCACUCCAUGUUGUCUAUUUACAAAGCACUGGAAGUGGUGACUCUUCUUCCCUGCUAAAGGACUAUUCUACAUACCUGAACAGGUUACAUACUUACUGUUGAAAGGGAAUUUUUGUGGCCUUAGAGCUUAGGUGUGCAGCCACUUGGGUGUGCAAAAGUUACAGGCGGGACAGGUGGGUGAUAGUAGGCAAAGCUUGUCUUCCGGUGUGACUCGGUCCAAGGACUGCAGGCGAUGUCCCCAUUGGCCCGGUGGUGGCUCUGGACCAUGAUGGGGUGCGGGAUGACGGCAGGUUUGCAGGUUACUCUGGACAUUAAGGAGCUGCCCCUUUCAGUCCUGCUGAGGCCCAGGUUAUUUGGGAUUCCCAGAAGACACCAUCUGGAGAAGCCCCGAGAAGAUUUUCAGUUUAAUUGACAGGCCCCAGUCAUGGAACAUAAGAGACAGUCCUGCAGCCUUCUUCACAGAGGCUCCCUAACUUUGCCAGACAUGCAGAACUCAGCAGAAUGAGUGGAAAGAUCAGGAUUGCUCAUCAUCUCCUUGGCAGACAUCAUCGUGUUGUGAAGCGAAAAUUGGGAGUCCCUCAUUGCCUGGAAUAGCAGAGACACCAGGGGCUCAGGCAGCUGCAGCGAGCUUCCAGCCUCAGGAGAACGCUGUGUGGAAGCAGCCGUCUGAACCUCCGUCUGAAGGCUACAGCCCAGCCCUCUUCUCUGGCUGGACAGAGGAGAACAUCAAAAGGCUGACGUGGCCCCUCCUGCCUGUUUCCCAGCAUUGACCAAAGGCUGCCGUGCCGAGCACAGCCUGUCGUCUGGCGCGGGCUGUGCUGGAGGGUCCCAUGAGCCUUACACCGAGUGUCGAGGAACCCACCUGCACCCAGACCCUGCUCAGAACCCCCUACAUUCAGGGGCUCAAGGAAGACGAGCAGAAACAAAACGACAGCUCACUUGAACAAAUGCACAGAGCUUGACAGCCAUUUCCCCAAGGAAGAUAUACAGAUGGCCAGCAGGCCCCUGAAGAGACGCCUGGCAAAGCAGGAAUCCUACCACUUGACACCCGCUGUGGCGAUGAUAACAAAACAAAGUGGAAAAUCACAAGUGUCGGUGAGGAGGCAGGUCCGCUGGAACGCUCACGCACUGCUGAUGGCGAGGGAGACGGUGUAGCCACGUGGGAAACUGUCGCCCCUUCCUCAGCGGGUUGUCACACCUGGCAAUUCCUAGCAGUUCCACACCUAGGUGCACAUCCAAGAGAAGUGAAAACGGGGGCCUGAACUGAUCCUUGUACACCCGGGUUCAGAGCAGGUCUGUUCACAGUAGCCAAAAGGUAGAAACAGCUGAACUUUCUGUAGAUGGAUGGCUAAGCAAAAUAUGGUCUCUCCAUGCAGUGAAACAUCAUUUACCCCUAAAAACCAAUGACGCUCCAGCCCACGCCACGACGUAGGUGAGCCUCGAGAACAUUGUGCUCGGUGAGAUAAUCCAAACCCAAAGGGCCGCAUAGCGUAUGACUCCACUUACAGGAGGUGCUCGGAACAGGCAAUUCCAUGGAGAGGAAAGAUCAGUGGCUUCCAGGGUCUGGGGUGGUGGUCAGGGAGAGACCAUCGAAAGGCCUGGGGUUUCAUUUUGGGGUGAUGGGAAAGUCUGACACUAGAUAGGGUCAUGGUUGCACAGUAGCAAAGAGUAAAACUCUUUCCCGGACUGUCUGAGUGAGGGCGGGGUGGGGAUGGUGUCAAUGGGGGUGGGAGGGAGGAUGUGGCUUUGAGGGGUGUUGCUGAGGACCUGCCUCUCUCUAUUCUGCCCUUCUUGCAAGUUCUUGCGGGUCAAGAGCUACCAGCUUGAGGCUUGGAGGAGACAACCCCUCUCCCCAGGACAGGAGGAGGCUAGGAGGCGUAAACAUGAGCCCAUCUUCAUUUUCAGGGACACAGUGGUCCAGGAGCCACAUUAUGGCCCAAAGGCUUUGCACCUGGCCUUUCGUAGGGCACGUUGUGCUGGAGGGAGCUCCAUGUGCUGUUAGACCCCGGCCCAGCAGGAUCCCUGGGGAAUUCCAAAUUCCAGCCACACUAUAGUCUAAUUAAGAGCUUUUACCCAGAGAAAAUGAUGGAAUAGAUUUGUUGUUGGAAAGAAGCCAGAUAAAAUUAGAUGCCUCUUGUCUCCCCACUACCCACCCCUCACCCCUGUGCUCUUGUCUGAAAUCUUUACUUUUGUCUCUUGGUUCCUGGCUGGAAGGUACCCAGGGGUGUGUAUUCUCAAAAGCAGGGAUGUACUGUUGCGUCCUUGAGACUCCCUGCUUAAAUUUCAAGUGUGAUUUUGCUUUUGCUCCAAGUGACUUCUGUUCUGGAACAGCUUUGGGCCUGGGGCUCUGUGUUGGGGGGUGUGUGUGGUUUCUUUUUUCUUUUCAGUAAAGCUUGUUAGAAUUUUAUAGCUGCAAACUGAUAGAAUAUUUUGCCUCACAGAAGAAGUUCAUCUGAUUCCUCACGUCUUGUGUCUUCUCUCCAAGUUCCUGUUCUUGGCAAAGCUAACCUGCUGUCUCAUCCACCGAAAUAGAAUUGGGUUUGCCUCCCAACAGCCACUUUUUAGCAAAACCAGGUUCUGAUAGUCUGCUAUCUUCUGUUACCAUGUGUGGACUGUGAAUUUUAGGAACAGCUGUUCUUUUUUACCAGGGCAGGAAGGGAAAGAGUAUCCUGUAUGAAAACUAGGGCUUCAGUCCGUCCAGGGGAGCUGAUAGCUCAUUACUGGAAAAUGUCCAGGGACACACCGCUGAGCAGGUCACAGGUCUCAGAGGGCCCGGAGCCGUGGGGGUUGGUGCCAUUCAUGUGGGUGUUGGUUUCUUUAAAUUUAAUUCCGUGUGGAAUUCAGCAGAGACCUUGAGGAGAUUUCAGAUGGCCUCAGCCUACACGUCCCAGAUCUUAAAUUGACGAUGUGGGAGAGGGCAUUACAGAGUGGGAGGAGCCGCCGGCAGCAGAUGCCUUCUCCCGGCACGCCUGAUGGGGACGGUCCCCUUGAGUGUGGAAGGAGCCUGUGGUCAGGGGCACACCAUGGUCAGAGGGGCUGGUCAUACACAAACUGCUUUCCCAGAGAGGAAAACCUCCUGUGUCUCUCUGGGCCUUUUCUUUCUCUGCUUCUCAUCUCGGCAUUACAGGCACAGAGACACCCCCUGAAAGGGUCUUCCUUCCACUCCCCCCUGAAUUUCAGCAUUGUCCGAGAGGUGCUCCCUGGGCAGCUGAGAGCAGUUUAAUGGACAGUUUCAUUGGUUUGUUGAUGCUGUCUCAAGAUGACAUUACCCAAAUCCUUUGGAACACGUUUGGGACCGUGGAUUUAGGGACAUUAGUGAAGAGCCAGAGGCGGAGGGGCCUGGACCAAGGAGCUCAGCAAGUGAGGUGGGAUCUUCCCGCUGCCCCUUGGGCUCUGGACCAGACCUCGAGCCAAUGUCUGGUCACGGUGGCCAUUCUAAGACCCAUUCUGUUGCCCACUGGGCCAGUGGUGGCCAUGGGUGGUUUUGUUUGAUGGUUUGUCACUUGCCAUUUGUGCUGGGUGUGGUUAGGAGAGCUGGGCUGCCCGCCGUGGUGCCGCUGGACACCGCAGCUGCUGUGCCCUGGACGAGUGGCUGGCCUGGAGCAAGGUGCUUCGAGCGUGAAACACACCCAAUGGGAAGACUUAGCACAGAUAACAAGACAGCAGAUUAGUCACCUGCUGUAUGCGUUCCGUGGUGAGAUGGUAACGUUUUACAUAGGCCUGUGUAAAUGCGUCACUCAUUUUAUGUUUCCUUUUACUUUUCAAACGUGGGCAGCUACUAGAAAACUUGAAAGUUGGGGGUGCCCAGCAGGCUCUGUUGGAGGGGCAUGGGCUCUGAUCUCGGGUUGUGAGUUCCAGCCCCAUGAUGGGCAGAGCGGUUACUUAAAAUAAAAUCUUAAAAAAAAAGUUGAAUCUCUAGCACGCAUGGCAAUUCCUUUGGGUGGAGCCGCGCCACAGCCCGCCUUCUUGGAACACGCACACACACGCGUGCACGCGCAUGCGUGCACGCACACUCUGUCACACACAGUCACAUGCACGCGUGUGCGUGCAGAUACCAGCGGAGCACAGGGAGCAGGAACGCGCACACACACGGCGUCCCUCUCAGGACAGGCUGGUCUCCAGCCGACACCUGGGCAGUGGGGACCUCAAGGCCUCUGGAGGGGCAGGGGAGUGAUGGACGCGUGGUCACGACAGGGAAGAUGGGGCUGCCCCUGUCCUGCUUGUGUGCAUCAGUCACUCGUCCUGAGAAUGCUGUCCUGCGGGGCGUUACCCGCGUGUGGGAGCUUUGGACAGUAAGUGCAGAACGGACGUCAGACAUACCAGCCCCUCUUCACCCCCAGCUCUCCCAGCUGCCACUUU